UACGUAGGGGGCGAGCGUUGUCCGGAAUCAUUGGGCGUAAAGAGCGUGUAGGUGGACUGGAAGGUCUGGUGUGAAAGCCCGGGGGCUCAACCCCGGAGGGUCACUGGAAACCAACAGUCUUGAGUCCGGAAGAGGAGAGUGGAAUUCCUGGUGUAGCGGUGGAAUGCGCAGAUAUCAGGAGGAACACCUGCGGUGUAGACGGCUUACUGGACCAUAACUGACGCUGAGGCACGAAAGCGUGGGUAGCAAACAGG
rnacentral:rRNA from 1 species